AGAGUUUGAUCCUGGCUCAGGACGAACGCUGGCGGCGUGCCUAACACAUGCAAGUUGAGCGACGAACCAGGGCUUGCCCUGGGGCAAAGCAGCGAACGGGUGAGUAACACGUGGGUAACCUGCCCCGAUGACCGGGACAACCCGAGGAAACUCGGGCUAAUACCGGAUGUGCCUGCCGAACAUCAGUUUGGUAAGCAAAGGAAGCUUCGGCCUCCGCAUUGGGAGGGGCCCGCGGCCCAUUAGCUAGUUGGUGGGGUAACGGCCUACCAAGGCAACGAUGGGUAGCUGGUCUGAGAGGACGAUCAGCCACACUGGGACUGAGACACGGCCCAGACUCCUACGGGAGGCAGCAGUGGGGAAUCUUGCGCAAUGCGCGAAAGCGUGACGCAGCAACGCCGCGUGGGGGAAGAAGGCCUUCGGGUUGUAAACCCCUUUCAGGAGGGACGAAGGUUCGGCGGUGAAUAGCCGACCGGACUGACGGUACCUCCACAAGAAGCCCCGGCUAACUACGUGCCAGCAGCCGCGGUAAUACGUAGGGGGCAAGCGUUGUCCGGAAUCAUUGGGCGUAAAGCGCGCGUAGGCGGCCCGGUAAGUCCGUUGUGAAAGUCAAAGGCUCAACCUUUGAAUGCCGAUGGAUACUGUCGGGCUAGAGUCCGGAAGAGGCGAGUAGAAUUCCUGGUGUAGCGGUGGAAUGCGCAGAUAUCAGGAGGAAUACCCAUAGCGAAGGCAGCUCGCUGGGACGGUACUGACGCUGAGGCGCGAAAGCGUGGGGAGCGAACAGGAUUAGAUACCCUAGUAGUCC
rnacentral:rRNA from 1 species